rnacentral:other from 1 species
GGCGUUCUGCGCUUCGCGGCAGGAGUAACUUAUCCCCGGGGCCUUAUUGAUCCUUAGGGAGCUGUCCCUGGCCGGACCCGUGGGUUCGGACACACGGCGCCCACCUACUUUGUAGGCACCCGGGAUCAAACCUCUCCACCGGUCGUCGCGGUUCGCCA